CUGCUUCGGAGGAGGAAGCAGGAGCGGAGCACAACGACGCUAACUGCCUGUUCGUGGGUCAUUCACAAUGAGGACACAGCGAAGGCUUCAUUCAGGAACACUCAGCUGAAUACACAAACAAGGGACAUCAGAGGAGUUGGGCCCUGCUGGCUUCCCUCCAGACGGUAACACAGAGCUGCUCCCCUGACCUCUGCUGUAACGUUCCUGAAGGACAUCCUGAAGACGAACAAUGGCAGAGAACAAAUCUAGUCGAUGGUUCCCAAGCCCCCCACCAUCCAUUUGCUCAGCACUGACAAUAAUACCAGGAAGGACAGAACACUCUGCUACUCUGUUGGAAAGCAACGCCCUCUGAUGUUCUCCUGCUUCAAACGCUGUUUCAGUCAGACUACAAAGAAACCAGGAGGUGACACUCUUAACCAGAGUGCUGAUCUUUUUUUUACUAUAUCUUGGGUCUUAUUUUUGUAGUUUUGAUCAUUUCACUUACCAUGUAAUUUUUUGCAGAGACAAGUCUGAUGGGUCAACAAACAUGCAGUCUGUGUGCUGGUUGGAAAUCAACAGUUUAUCAAUAUUAUCUAAUAGGGUUUUCCCAUAGGCCUGUGUUGGUCAGCUUGUGCCAAGCCAAGCUGCAUUCACAUGCAUUUCCUCUACAGCUCCAGCAAGAGAUAGCCACAGGGCAGUGUGGCACUGAGCUGCUUUGGUUCUGCUGAGAUGAGCCUUAUUUUCCUUUAUCGUUCCUGGACUGGGUUACCUUGAUUCUUAUGCUAUCCAAUAUUUCCUGCUGUUUUUGUUAUGGGAAAUGCAAAGUAUUUGUCAUCAAGUCUAUAGAGAUUCAUUAGUGGGGCUAUUCUUCUAUAAGAACGGGUCUAAUCAAUCAGGCUCAGUAUGAACACAUGCUGUGGUCUCAGGUCAGUGAAUCAGGUGCAGGGAGGUAAACCACGAACAUCCAGGCGGCAGCCUCUUGCUGUGAUUUGACACCAUCGACUCCUAUAUAAGGACGGAAGACAUGACAGCUCCCUGAAUUGAAGUGACUGGUGACGGGUGACUGGCUGCAGUAAAGGUCUAAACCCAACCUCCUUCAUGUUAGCAGAUGGGACAUGCAUCAAGCAACGUCAAAGUACGUGUUAAAAUACAUUUUUCUGAAAGAUGGUUUUGUUAUUUAAGGUAGUUAUUAUCACAUGGGUGUUUGUUCAAGUGUUCAUGUUUGUGCUCCGAUUAGUUAUUUGCUGCUAUUUUGGCUUCAUUCUGUACAUAGUGAGGAAGUCAUGUUUGAGACUAGAAAUAAUUGUUCACCUUUCUAUGUAGUGCAGUGGGAAAAAAUCAAGCGGGGCUAGACACUAUCAGAACCAUCCAAAAGUUUGCCAGAGGUACCUUCUGUUCUGGAUAUAUAAAUGACAGGCCACACAAACCACUUACCUGUACAAACACUUUCAGAGAUGUUGUCUAUUAGCAUGUGUAUCAGGACACUAAACUAAAAGUAGACUGAGAGAUAUGGUUUGUGUUUGCAGGUGUCUGCAUGCCUACAAUACAUUUGUUAGCAUAUGGUUCCUCCUUUAAGAUGUAGUAACAUUUUCCGAACUUGAAUAAUGUAGUCUGCUCACCAUAGUUCACUGCGAGCUCACGCCACAGCCAUCUGCUUCCGCUUGCCAGACACACAACACAGAUUUUAUCUCCACUUGAAAAUUCCAACUCCCAGCUUUGCAGAAGAAGAUAAGCCUUGGAUUCAAUCAUACCUAAAAGGAUACUUCUUUGAGCCAUGCUAUAGUAGCACGACUUCAUGGAUGUUAUCAGUAAUUGUUCACCAGUUGGGUCCAGACUAAAAUAUCUUAUCCAUUGGAGGGAUUAAGAUGCCAUUUUAUUCAGGCAGAUGUAUAUGAAUGUAUAUGUGAUUCCCUGAGUUUUCUCUGGAGUUAGCAUGCUGAUGAUUGGCAUUGAGCUCAAAGCACAGAUGUGUCUUCAUAUAGCCUCACAGACCUACGAGGAUAGUUAGACUCUUAUCCAUCUAUUCAUGCAAGAGAACAGCAAUGUUCCCAGCCUGCAUUAGUAUCAAUUGUUGAUGUUCACUCUGUAUAGCAAAUCUGAAGGUUUUGUAAACAAUGAAACUAAUUAUUUUGUAACUAUCCUUUUAAUAAGUCUGAUUAUGUGACCGUUUGCGAGGUGAGAGAGAGAGGAAACAGUUGCUUUACUGAUUCUUAUAAUGACAAUAAUAAUCCAGACACUUACAGAUGCAAUUACAUUAUUAUUAUGAAUAUUAAUGAUCAUAAUAAUAAUAAUCAUAGAGAUUUGGAGAGAGCAAACACAGUUAGUGACAUGUAAUGUAAAAACAUGGGGGCAGAGAGAGAGUGAGAGAUGCACGAUGGGAGUUCCACCCCAGCAGUCUCGACCUAUAGCAGCAUCACUAAGAGAUGGUUCAGCUCUGACUGUAAUCUUUGUCAAAGGGGAAGAAGUGGCUGAAGGCUCUGCCCCCCCAUUCUACUUUUACAGACCCUGGGAACCACAAGUAGUCCUGAGUUUAUAUUUCAAAUAUUUGUAUUGACUUUUCAAAGAAUUAUAUGGUGUAAACAAUGAAUGCCAUUUUGGUUUCAAUGAUCAAACAAUACAAACCCGCCCCCCACCCCCCGCCUAUCAGCUGGGAUCCUAUUUGAACACCAGAAACAUAUUCCUUGAGUAUUUAACGAUAGAAAAUAGAAAGAGAGAGUGAGAAAAAUAGAGCUGUCAGGUUAUACAAUUAAGUCAAGUCAAGUCAAGUCAAGUAGCGAAUCUUUCCAAGGCUUAGACAAGACAUAAUGUUCCUCAGCCACUGAGCAUGGGUGGGCGGGGCAGCAUCCCUCCAUCUUAAUAAUAUGGCACGUCUAGCCAGAAGUAGAGCAAUGACAAUGUAUGUGAUUUGGUUGAGUUUAGACGCCUGUCAUCUUCACCUGUUGUACCAAAAUGAGCUAACAAUGGGUUCCGUUCAAUAUCUAUACUAACAAUCAAAGACAGAGUUUGGAAGACGUCUUUCCACAAUUUAUCCAAGCUGGGACAUGUGAUGUCCAAAACAAAAAGAGAAGCUUCCCCACCUCACAGCAAGGGUCUAUAUCUGGGUAGAUGCAAGAUAAUUUUGAUUUGGACGUAUGAGUCCGGUGCACGACCUUAAACUGCAACAGGCUGUGGUGGGCACAAAAAGAUGUUUUGUCAAUGAGCUUGAUGAUGGAGUCCAAUGUAUCCUCGGUCAGCGAGAGGUUUAAAUCCUGCUCCGGGGCACUUUUGAUCUUCUCUAUUGGGGCUUGUCUUACACCUGCCAGUUUAUUAUAAAUGUCUGAUAUUAAAUGCUUACUAUACAGGUUUAGACUAAGGACAGUAUCCACAGGGUUUUUAUCUGGUACAUUGGGAAAGUUUGGCAACUUGGAAUGAGUGUCUCAUUUGCAAGAAUCUAUAAAAAUGUGUUUUUGGAAAGUUAAACUUUCUAGAAAGCUGCUCAAAUGAUGGAAAUCUUCUUUCAAU